UCCAAGUCACCUAUCAUUUUAUCCAAAUUACAGGUCAAAGUUUUUUGAAAAAGCCAGAGGAUGGUGAGAGAUUAUGAAAGAACAACUUAGAACACUAAUCACGCCAGAUGUUAUUCCCAGACAAUUCUCCAGCCAUUGUGUGCCCAGGCCAGGAUGUGGUGGCCACUGCCAGAGGAAGCCGGUGCUGUGGGCGCACUUGCUUCAACUGGGGGAUGGACGGUGUUUCCAUGCACCUACCUGCCCCCCUGGACACAGCUGUGAGGGCCCCAGCUGCAGACCCUGGGCACUGAAUCAACUGCAUUUGCUAGGCUUCCCAACUGGUUGAGAACCACUGGUUUGUAAUAUUUUAGUUUGUACGUCUUCUAAUCUUUUAAAAAUCCUUUAUUUUCUACAUUUUUCUUCAAAGAAUUUUAGAAUAUGAUGGUAUUUUUGAUAAAUCAUUGUUUCUUCAUGUCAGUCAAGACUAAAAUUUGAAAAAAGGUGAAAAUAUAAUGGGGGAAAAUUUGAAGAGCGCC
rnacentral:lncRNA from 1 species